rnacentral:rRNA from 1 species
AGACGUCUACAUUAGACUACCCCCGUAGUCCCAGCCGUAAACUAUGCGCGUUAGGUGUAUCGGUGACCACGAGUUACCGAGGUGCCGAAGGGAAACCGUGAAACGUGCCGCCUGGGAAGUACGGUCGCAAGGCUAGAAACUUAAAGGAAUUGGCGGGGGAGCACCACAACGGGUGGAGCUUGCGGUUUAAUUGGAUUCAACGCCGGAAAUCUUACCGGGACCGACAGCAAUAUGAAGGCCAGGCUGAAGACUUUGCCGGAUUAGCUG